CAACAAAGUAAUGAAUGGGAGAACAUAUAUGGAGCAGAACGAACUACAGAUUCAUUAAACAUGGGAAAGAGCAAGAUAAAAAAAUGGCAAACAAAGCAUUAUGUUUUAAAGAAGCAAAGACAUCGAGUCUAGUCAGACAGAACAGCAUUAAUAGCGGCAAACCAAACUUUUCUGACAUGACAGAGAAUCAGAAGAGUCACAGACGAGGUGAGAGAUUUACACAGACACCAAACACAGUUACAUCUGUGUAGAUCAGACGCACAAAUCUGUCUUAUACUUGUUCUGAGAAUGUAUUUUUCUUUCAGGAAGCAGCAGUUCUGUUUCUCUAACCAGCAGAAUAUUCUUCAUGUUCGACCUUCAUGGUUAAGUCAGACAGUAUUACAGGAUUACAGUAUUACUUUCAGUAUAUAAGAAGAAUGUGAAUUAAUAGAUACUAUAUUUAUACAGUACAUCACUACAGUUCUGAAUGAAUCUGAUGUAAAUAUGACUUUUACAGUAAUCAUUGAUGUGAUCAGUGUUUCUGCUGUAUGUUACAGUAAAUGUUGUAGAUUUAUAAAAUAUUUGUUUAAUAAUUUAACUGUAAUUAAAAUACAUUUUACUGUAACAAAUCUGAAAACUCCAAGAGAAAA